UGUGCAAUUAAAACAAAGCAUUGCGAGGGCUGUUGAUUGGUGCUGACGCAAUGUGAUUUCUGCCCAGUGCUCCGAAUGUCAACGUGAAAAAUCUCAAGAAAAGCGCGGGUGAACGGCUGGAGUAACUAUGACCUUAUAGUGGUAUGUGGGGCGGGGCUGGGAUGGCAUCAA
rnacentral:rRNA from 1 species